rnacentral:rRNA from 1 species
GAGCGGCGGACGGGUGAGUAAUGCCUAAGAAAUUGCCCUGAUGUGGGGGAUAACCAUUGGAAACGAUGGCUAAUACCGCAUAAUGCCUACUGGCCAAAGAGGGGGACCUUCGGGCCUCUCGCGUCAGGAUAUGCCUAGGUGGGAUUAUUGUAUGUUGGUGAGGUAAUGGCUCACCAAGGCGACUAUCCCUAUACUGGUCUGAGAGGAUGAUCACCCACACUGGAACUGAGACACGGUCCAGACUCCUACGGGAGGCACCAUUGGGGAAUAUUGCACAAUGGGCGCAAGCCUGAUGCAACCAUGCCGCGUGUGUGAAGAAUGCCUUCGGGUUGUAAAGCACUUUCAUUCGUGAGGAAGGUGGUAGUGUUAAUAGCACUAUCAUUUGACGUUAGCGACAGAAGAAGCACCGGCUAACUCCGUGCCAGCAGCCGCGGUAAUACGGAGGGUGCGAGCGUUAAUCGGAAUUACUGGGCGUAAAGCGCAUGCACGUGGUUUGUUAAGUCAUAUGUGAAAGCCCGGGGCUCAACCUCGGAAUAUCAUUUGAAACUGGCAUACUAGAGUACUGUAGAGGGGGGUAGAAUUUCAGGUGUAGCGGUGAAAUGCGUAGAGAUCUGAAGGAAUACCGGUGGCGAAGGCGGCCCCCUGGACAGAUACUGACACUCAGAUGCGAAAGCGUGGGGAGCAAACAGGAUUAGAUACCCUGGUAGUCCACGCCGUAAACGAUGUCUACUUGGAGGUUGUGGCCUUGAGCCGUGGCUUUCGGAGCUAACGCGUUAAGUAGACCGCCUGGGGAGUACGGUCGCAAGAUUAAAACUCAAAUGAAUUGACGGGGGCCCGCACAAGCGGUGGAGCAUGUGGUUUAAUUCGAUGCAACGCGAAGAACCUUACCUACUCUUGACAUCCAGAGAAUUUUCCAGAGAUGGAUUAGUGCCUUCGGGAACUCUGAGACAGGUGCUGCAUGGCUGUCGUCAGCUCGUGUUGUGAAAUGUUGGGUUAAGUCCCGCAACGAGCGCAACCCUUAUCCUUGUUUGCCAGCGAGUAAUGUCGGGAACUCCAGGGAGACUGCCGGUGAUAAACCGGAGGAAGGUGGGGACGACGUCAAGUCAUCAUGGCCCUUACGAGUAGGGCUACACACGUGCUACAAUGGCGCAUACAGAGGGCAGCAAGCUAGCGAUAGUGAGCGAAUCCCAAAAAGUGCGUCGUAGUCCGGAUUGGAGUCUGCAACUCGACUCCAUGAAGUCGGAAUCGCUAGUAAUCGUGGAUCAGAAUGCCACGGUGAAUACGUUCCCGGGCCUUGUACACACCGCCCGUCACACCAUGGGAGUGGG